rnacentral:tRNA from 1 species
GGGGGUAGAGCUUGGGGUAGAGCACGUGCUUGGGAUGCACAAGGUCCUGGAUUCAAUCCCCAGUACCUCUG